rnacentral:piRNA from 1 species
UGGUGACUAUAGAUCCUAGGUCUGCCA